UGUUAAUGUAAAGAAUUUGAUUAGGGUAGUAGUAGGUAUGAUCUUGAAACCUAAAGAAUUUGGCGGUGCUUUAAUCUAAUUAGAGGAACUUGCUUCAUAAAUUGAUAAUACACGAUUGUGAGUACUUGAUUAAAGGCUUGUAUAUCGCCGUCAUUAGAAUGUCUUGAAAAAGAAAUAUUCUGAAAUUUUUAAAGGAAAAUAUGUCAGGUCAAGAUGCAGCAGUAAUCAAGUGAAAGUGAGUUACAAUAAAAUUAUAUAAUGGAUUUUAAUAUGGAAGAUAAAAUGAAAUUGGAUUUAAUAGUAAAAUAAUUUUGUUUAGCUUAUUUGAAUGGGGCUCUGAAGCAUGC
rnacentral:rRNA from 1 species